rnacentral:rRNA from 1 species
AAUGAACGUUGGCGGCGUGGAUUAGGCAUGCAAGUCGUACGAGAAGCUUUUUUGCUUGCAUUAAAAGCGGACAGUGGCGAAAGGGAGAGUAACGCGUGGAUAUUUACCCCGGGGUCUGGGAUAGCUGCGAGAAAUUGCAGGUAAUACCGGAUAACGUUUCCGAACCAAGGUGUGAUUCCGCCUUGGGAUAAGUCCGCGUCCUACUAGCUUGUUGGUGAGGUAAUGGCUCACCAAGGCCAAGAUGGGUAGCGGGUGUGAGAGCAUGGCCCGUCUCACUGGGACUGAGACACUGCCCAGACACCUACGGGUGGCUGCAGUCGAGAUUCCGCAAUGGGCGAAAGCCUGACGGAGCGACGCCGCGUGCGGGAUGAAGGCCCUCGGGUUGUAAACCGCU